rnacentral:misc_RNA from 1 species
UUCACAUUCUGAACUCUCACAAAUCAAAGGAAAGAGCUCAUUGAGAACUCAUGACAGGCCACAAGAUUCCACGAAUAAGACAUUGCUGCGGAAGUUCAGUAAGCUUGAUGAAGAAAGUGAUUUUGGAUCCCCAAGUUAUAGAGCUGAUCUGGAUUACAGUGGGAAUGUGAGAGAAGCAGUUGCGUUGUCUAGAAGUGCGCCUCUUGGCCCUCCUCCCUUGUGCUCGAUUUGUCAACACAAGGCACCUGUAUUUGGGAAACCACCCAGGUGGUUUACUUAUGCUGAGCUGGAG